CUCAGUAAUUGGUCGCAUUCGUCGACAAAAAUGUUGUGUACUCCACAUCUGUUUAAAAUUUUAAUUUAAUUAGCCGACGUCUUGUAAUUUUUGAAUUUUUUUAAAAACGAUAUAAAAAAAAUGCACCCAUAGUUUUUUAAAUUUCCUACAUGUGCAUAUUUUUAAUUUUUUGAAAUCGAUUUUUAAAAAAUUUGAAAAUUUUCAGUUUACUAAAUCCAGGAUAAUAAUUUUUAAAUUUUUAAUUAAUCAUCCGAUGAAUAAAAUAAAUCGUAGGAUUAGCAGACGUUGAGACACUAGGUAAAAAAUUUCAAAUAAUUUAUCACGUCUACAUUUAUAGCGUAAGUUAAAAUAACAAACGUCAGUGUUUGAUACAUAAAUCAUCAUUUAAAUUAUAUGAGUUAAUGAUAAAUUACUGAUAAGCGACACCAGUGGUUCUGAUACCGUAAUAAUUAAAUGACUUUUAUUUAAAUAAAGUGACAGUCUGCGAAAAUUAAAAACCCGAGUGGUCAAAAUAAAAAUAAAUAAAAAGAACAAGGGAUCAAUGAUAAGUGCAAAUUAAUUUAAUUGGUAAAGACAAUUUUUACCAGCAAUGAAAGACAAAGAAGAAAAAAUUAUUAAUUCAAAUAGUAAAAUGUCUGAAGAAACUUCAAAUCACGAAGAAAUAAUAAUCGGAGGAAUUGAAGGAGGCGGCACUCAUUCUUCUUUGAUAAUAAUGGACGGCAAGGGAAAUCAACUGGCGCAUAUCAAGGGUCCUGGCACCAAUCACUGGGGUUUGGGUAUAAAGGAAACUGCCUUGAGAAUCAAUAACAUGAUUGUGGAAGCCAAGGAAACUUUAAAUAUUUCUGAAUCUCGUCUUCUUGAUUGUGUCGGUUUGUGCUUGAGUGGCUGCGAGGAAGAAGAAACUAAUAAUCAGCUGGUGGAAACUCUGCUGAAAGAAUUCCCGCAUGCUAGCAAAAAAUAUGUCGUCGGUUCAGACUCGAUGGGCAGCUUAAAAACUGGUUCUAAUUGCGGAGGUAUUGUUCUUAUAGCGGGAACGGGGAGUAAUGGUCUGCUAAUUAACUCAGAUGGUAGCACUCAUGGGUGUGGAGGCUGGGGUCACAUGAUUGGUGACGAAGGCGGAGCUUUCUGGAUAGCCCACAGAGCUUGCAAAUGUGUAUUUGAUGAUUUAGAUGGGCUACAAAAAGCCCCACACUCUACAGAAUUCGUUUGGACGGCGAUGAAAAAAUUUUUCCGUGUGAAUAAUCAAAACGAAAUGCUGCCACAUCUUUACUCAAAUUUUGAUAAAAGUAAAUUCGCCAUGUUCACCAAAGAACUUGUUGCUGGAUGUGAAAAAAAAGAUCCGCUCUGUGAAAGUUUUUUUACCCAUGCUGGAGAAUAUCUUGCGCGAUAUGUAAAUACGCUGGCUGCUAAAGCGCACAAUGAUGUGAAAUUGGCGACUGGAGGCUUGAAGGUAAUCUGCGUUGGCUCAGUUUGGAAGUCAUGGAAUUUAAUGGAAAAAGGUUUCACGAAUGAAAUUAAAAGACGACAUUUAGUUGAUGAAUUGACUUUGUUGAGAUUGAAAGCACCUUCGGCUAUUGGCGCUUGUUAUGUUGCCGGUGAAAAAAUAUCUUGUGAAAGUCUUGUUAAGACUCAUGAUAAAAAUUCCGAGGCUUUUUUUCACUACAAACGAGGAACUGAACCGAAGAAAGGAACUUCUGUUGUAGCUAUCGAUAAUUCUUGCGAAACAAUUUGUGUUGCUGCGUCGUAAAAUAUAAUAAGUAAAAAGUAUAAGUAUAUUUUUACUUGAUGGAAGUAUUUGUCUAUAAAAUAUACGAGGUAUAUCUCGUAUAUAUUUUUGUAGUACUGGGAGUUAAAAAUAUUGACAAAAUUUUAUUGAAUUUUCGUCAAUAAAAUAAUUACGAGACUUAUAUAUUUUUAUAUAAAAAUUUAUCACCGGUCAAUGAUCAAUUUAUUUAUCGCAAUGGUAGCAUUUGUUAUAUUUAUAUAUUUUGUCUGCAACAUGACGUGACUGUAUACUACGUGAAUAUGAAAGACAAAAUAAAAAUAAAAAUUUGACAGUCAAAUAAAAUUUAAAUGUUUAUGUAAAUUUAUAUGAAAAAUGGGCAUAGCAAAUUUUUUUGGAUGGAUCUUAUAUAUUUUAAUGUGGAGUAUCAUAAAAUUUAUAAAUAUCGUAGGUUAUAUAUUUGUCUUCUGUUUAUUGACAAUUUUCUUCUUCAUCGUAUUGCCGAUGCUCGUCUUCUUGGCUCUAUGGAGUCUCGGGCUCUUCUGGGACAACAGCAAUCGGCUCCAAGAAUAAAUAAUAAUAAAAGAGUGAAAGGACAAAUUAAUCUUAAAUGUUUUCACUUCUCGAUAACCUUGGGCUCAAGGCAACGCAACCGGAUAUAAAUUACUAGUAAAUUAACUUGUAAAAGAAAUAAAAUGAAUUUUUUACUGUAAAUCUGUUCACUGUAAAAAUAUAUGUAUUUUUGUACACGGUA